rnacentral:tRNA from 1 species
UGACCUGUAGCUCAAUGGCAGAGCAUUCGACUGUUAAUCGGGCGGUUGCUGGUUCGAGUCCAGCCAGGCCAGCCA